rnacentral:tRNA from 1 species
GUGGCUAUAGCUCAGUCGGUAGAGCAUCAGAUUGUGGAUCUGAGGGUCGCGGGUUCGAGCCCCGUUAGCCACC